rnacentral:rRNA from 1 species
UGGGGAAGUAUUGGUCAAUGGGCGCAAGCCUGACCCAGCCAUGCCGCGUGAGUGACGAAGGCCUUAGGGUUGUAAAGCUCUUUUGGUCGGGGAGCGGUACCCGCAGAAUAAGCCCCGGCUAACUUCGUGCCAGCAGCCGCGGUAAUACGAAGGGGGCGAGCGUUGUUCGGAAUCACUGGGCGUAAAGCGCACGUAGGCGGACUUUCAAGUCAGGGGUGAAAUCCCGGGGCUCAACCUCGGAACUGCCUCUGAUACUGUUGGUCUCGAGUCCGAUAGAGGUGGGUGGAAUUCCUAGUGUAGAGGUGAAAUUCGUAGAUAUUAGGAAGAACACCGGUGGCGAAGGCGGCCCACUGGAUCGGUACUGACGCUGAGGUGCGAAAGCGUGGGGAGCAAACAGGAUUAGAUACCCGGGUAGU